rnacentral:lncRNA from 1 species
AAUUUAAAGCAUCUUACUAAUAUUACAAAAUUAGUAAUAUGCCUUGUAUAUAAAUAAAAGUAGCAGCAGUUGAUGGAAUGGAUUCCUUCAUGCUUCCCCAUAGGAAAACGUUGUAAAAAUCCUAUUGAUAGUUAAUAUACAUGGAAAGUGAACACAUGAUGCCCCAUCCAACUAAACUAACUUGAAUUGUGCUAACUCAGGGUUGGGCAUGCCCCU